CUAACGGCGGUCCGGGAGGAGCAGUGAUACUGAGUUGGCAAGCGUUGUUCGGGUUUAUUGGGGUUAAAGGGUGGGUAGGCGGUGUCUGAAGUCAGUUGGGAAAUACGGCAGCUUAACUGUCGAGGUGCAAUUGAUACUGGGACACUUGAGUACUGAUGAGGUAAGCGGAAUGGACGGUGUAGCGGUGAAAUGCUUAGAUAUCGUCCAGAACACCGAUAGCGAAGGCAGCUUACUAAGGAGUAACUGACGCUGAGGCACGAAAGUGUGGGGAUCAAACAGGAUUAGAUACCCUUGUAGUC
rnacentral:rRNA from 1 species